rnacentral:rRNA from 1 species
AGAGUUUGAUCAUGGCUCAGGAUGAACGCUGGCGGCGUGCUUAACACAUGCAAGUCGAACGAUGAAAGCGGGAGCUUGCUCCUGCUGGAUUAGUGGCGAACGGGUGAGUAACACGUGAGUAACCUGCCCUUGACUCUGGGAUAAGCGUUGGAAACGACGUCUAAUACCGGAUACGACCUUCGGAGGCAUCUCCUGGGGGUGGAAAGAAUUUCGGUCAAGGAUGGACUCGCGGCCUAUCAGCUAGUUGGUGAGGUAAUGGCUCACCAAGGCGACGACGGGUAGCCGGCCUGAGAGGGUGACCGGCCACACUGGGACUGAGACACGGCCCAGACUCCUACGGGAGGCAGCAGUGGGGAAUAUUGCACAAUGGGCGCAAGCCUGACGCAGCAACGCCGCGUGAGGGACGACGGCCUUCGGGUUGUAAACCUCUUUUAGUAGGGAAGAAGCGAAAGUGACGGUACCUGCAGAAAAAGCACCGGCUAACUACGUG